GAUGAACGCUGGCGGCGUGCCUAAUACAUGCAAGUCGAACGGUAAGGCCCUUCGGGGUACACGAGUGGCGAACGGGUGAGUAACACGUGGGUGAUCUGCCCUGCACUUCGGGAUAAGCCUGGGAAACUGGGUCUAAUACCGGAUAGGACUCCGGACUGCAUGGUCUGGGGUGGAAAGCUUUUGCGGGGUGGGAUGGGCCCGCGGCCUAUCAGCUUGUUGGUGGGGUGAUGGCCUACCAAGGCGACGACGGGUAGCCGGCCUGAGAGGGUGACCGGCCGCACUGGGACUGAGAUACGGCCCAGACUCCUACGAGAGGCAGCAGUGGGGAAUAUUGCACAAUGUGCGCAAGCCUGAUGCAGCGACGCCGCGUGAGGGAUGACGGCCUUCGGGUUGUAAACCUCUUUCAGCAUCGACGAAGCGAAAGUGACGGUAGGUGCAGAAGAAGGACCGGCCAACUACGUGCCAGCAGCCGCAGUAA
rnacentral:rRNA from 1 species